AAUCAACGCUGGCGGCGUGCCUCAGACAUGCAAGUCGAACGAUUAAAGCUCUCUUCGGAGAGUGCAUAAAGUGGCGCACGGGUGAGUAACACGUAAGUAAUCUACCUUCGAGUGGGGAAUAACGUCCGGAAACGGACGCUAAUACCGCAUAAUGCAGCGGCAUCGCAAGAUGACAGUUGUUAAAGAUUUAUCGCUUGAAGAGGAGCUUGCGGCAGAUUAGCUAGUUGGUAAGGUAAUGGCUUACCAAGGCUACGAUCUGUAACCGGUCUAAGAGGACGGUCGGUCACACUGGCACUGAAUAACGGGUCAGACUCCUACGGGAGGCAGCAGUCGGGAAUUUUGGGCAAUGGGCGAAAGCCUGACCCAGCAACGCCGCGUGAAGGAUGAAGUAUUUCGGUAUGUAAACUUCGAAAGAAUGGGAAGAAUAAAUGACGGC
rnacentral:rRNA from 1 species